AAACCAUGAUAGGGAUGUUAUCUUUGCAAAACUUUAAACCUUUCCUAACCUUCAUAGAAAGACUUAUCAUCCCUUUGAUAAAAAGUGGCAAUCUUAUUUCUCAAUAU